UGUUGCUGACAUUCCUCCAACCCAGAAGUAACAAGGUGUCACAGCCAAUGAAAGUCACAAGACAGAAAACCACUGUGUCAUUGGAAUGAAAGUAAAGGAUUUCUCUGCAGUUCCAUUCUCAGGAGAAAAAAAAAAAAAAAAAAAAAAAAGGAGAGGUGACAAGAGGAAGUG